AAUAUUCACAGCCUCCUGUUCCGAGCAUGUUUCACAAAAAGCCACAUAUGAGAAGUUCCUCUUUUGUGUGCAUUUAUACUAGUGCUCACAUGCUGUUGGUCAGUGUGCAGUGGAGACAGACUGGAUAUUCUUCUGUUCUACUAGUCAUGAUUGAAGCAGAGAGGUUCAUCCUCAUUGGCUGCCUGCUGCAAGGUGCCCUGGGCAAUGAGUGGGCAGUCUGGAUGCCU